rnacentral:rRNA from 1 species
AUUAUUUUAAGAUUAUUUUUUAUUGUUGAAAAAAUUAAAAAUAAAUUGUUUUUAACAAAAAUUAAAAUUUAUAAUAUUUCAUUUUUUGGUUUUUUGUUUUAAAUUAAAAUAAUAAAUAUGGGGGAAAAAAAAAUUUUGUUAUAAAUUAUAUUAGUUUAUUUUAAUUAAAAAUAUUUUUUAUUAAAUUUGUUUUUUUUAUUUUUUUAUAAAAAAUAUUAAUUUAAUUAUUAUUAUUGAGUUUAAUUUAGUUAUUUUUAAAAAAAUUUUGUAUAAAAUAAAUUUGAUAAUAAAUGUUUUUUAAAUUCUUUGGGGGUUUAGUUUAUGAUUUUUUGUUUCUGCUCAUUGUUAAAUAAAAGCACUUUUAGCGUGAUUAGUCCAAAGGUAAA